CCUGGCUCAGGAUGAACGCUGGCGGCGUGCUUAAUACAUGCAAGUCGAACGAAGCACUUUCGGAAGAUCCCUUCGGGGUGACACUGGUUGUGACUUAGUGGCGGACGGGUGAGUAACGCGUGGGUAACCUGCCUUGUACAGGGGGAUAACAGUUAGAAAUGACUGCUAAUACCGCAUAAGCGCACGGGAUCGCAUGUUUCCGUGUGAAAAGAUUUUAUCGGUGCAAGAUGGACCCGCGUCUGAUUAGGUAGUUGGUGAGGUAACGGCCCACCAAGCCGACGAUCAGUAGCCGACUUGAGAGAGUGAUCGGCCACAUUGGGACUGAGACACGGCCCAGACUCCUACGGGAGGCAGCAGUAGGGAAUAUUGCACAAUGGGGGAAACCCUGAUGCAGCGACGCCGCGUGAGUGAAGAAGUAUUUCGGUAUGUAAAGCUCUAUCAGCAGGGAAGAUAAUGACGGUACCUGCAUAAGAAGCCCCGGCUAACUACGUGCC
rnacentral:rRNA from 1 species